ensembl:lncRNA
GGAGGAGAGAGAGAGACGGGGUGAGAGAGAGAGAGAGAGAGAGAGCGAUAACCCGGCCCUGGGCAGCGACCCCUGUGACCCUGCCUGUGACCGGCCCAAGUGGAACGAAUGUAGCAGCCCUCCUGACUCUGAGCACAUGGCGGAACUCAUCCCCGUUAAUCCGUCCAGCCGAGAGAGCGCUUUCUAUUUUCCAUUACAGUAUUUAAGAAGAUAGUCUGUCAAGCAUCGUGUCAACAACACUUAGGACCGAGCUGUGGGCUCCGAGCCCCUCACAACCACCCGACGAUAGACAUCUAGGGCCGCUCCUGAGCCGGUACAAGCCGAGGGCCAAAGGGUCAAGGAUCACGACGAUUGAGCGAACCAGUUCGCUUUUGACUCCAGAGUCUCUAGCGCCAUCUACCGCUGAGAAGAUGGCAUCCAGCAGUGCAAGUGUUUGCAGAGCAAGA